rnacentral:rRNA from 1 species
ACGAAGGGUGCAAGCGUUACUCGGAAUUACUGGGCGUAAAGCGUGCGUAGGUGGUUGUUUAAGUCUGUUGUGAAAGCCCUGGGCUCAACCUGGGAAUUGCAGUGGAUACUGGGCGACUAGAGUGUGGUAGAGGGUAGUGGAAUUCCCGGUGUAGCAGUGAAAUGCGUAGAGAUCGGGAGGAACAUCCAUGGCGAAGGCAGCUACCUGGACCAACACUGACACUGAGGCACGAAAGCGUGGGGAGCAAACAG